rnacentral:rRNA from 1 species
AGCGAACGCUGGCGGCAGGCCUGACACAUGCAAGUCGAACGAAGUCUUCGGACUUAGUGGCGGACGGGUGAGUAACACGUGGGAACGUACCUUUAGGUUCGGAGCAACUCAGGGAAACUUGAGCUAAUACCGGAUAAGCCCUUCGGGGAAAGAUUUAUCGCCUUUAGAGCGGCCCGCGUUAGAUUAGCUAGUUGGUGAGGUAAAGGCUCACCAAGGCUACGAUCUAUAGCUGGUCUGAGAGGAUGAUCAGCCACACUGGGACUGAGACACGGCCCAGACUCCUACGGGAGGCAGCAGUGGGGAAUCUUGCGCAAUGGGCGAAAGCCUGACGCAGCCAUGCCGCGUGAAUGAUGAAGGUCUUAGGAUUGUAAAAUUCUUUUACCAGGGACGAUAAUGACGGUACCUGGAGAAAAAGCCCCGGCUAACUUCGUGCCAGCCGCCGCCGUAACAC